UUUCGGGUUGAUAACUAGGCGGAUGUCUCGACUUUUAAACCACACCACGAUUUCUGCCCUUUAAGUGCCCGAUAUAUUAAUUUUGCGAUGAUCUUACAUGUUCCAGUCGCAUUGUCGUUUGCGAUUUUGCUCUAUUUUUCUCUCUGUGAUUGGUAACUUUUAAUUCGUCGCUACAUUU
rfam:Coccidioides posadasii str. Silveira unplaced genomic scaffold supercont2.6, whole genome shotgun sequence.